GUCUGUAUCAUAUUUUUCGUCUAGUGACGAUAACCAGUAUUUUCCUAUUGCAUUCCAUUUUUGUGUUUUUGAGUUGACAAUACUGUACAUACUUUUCACUUGUUUUGAUUUAAUAAAGUCCCUUAAGUUUAUCAUUCCUAUCCCCCCUUUUUCUUUCGGUAAACAGCACACUGUUCUAGCGACUUGGUUUGUUUUCCCAUCCCAUAUAAAGGACCAUAUAAUAUUAUUUAUUUGUUUUUCGUAUAUAUCCGGGAUACCUCUCAUUUCAAUUUCGUA
rnacentral:lncRNA from 1 species